rnacentral:tRNA from 1 species
AAAAACUUAGGUUAAUUAAACCAAGAGCCUUCAAAGCCCUAAAUAAGAAUCUAUCUUCUUAGUUUUUG